rnacentral:rRNA from 1 species
UGACUCCUUGAGAGUCCUGAAGGAACGUUGAAGGCGACGACGUUGAUAGGCCGGGUGUGUAAGCGCAGCGAUGCGUUGAGCUAACCGGUACUAAUGAACCGUGAGGCUUAACCUUACAACGCCGAAGGUGUUU